AUUGAACGCUGGCGGCAGGCCUAACACAUGCAAGUCGAGCGGAGCGGCUGACGGGUGAGUAAUGCCUAGGAAGCUGCCUGGUAGUGGGGGAUAACGUCAGGAAACGGGCGCUAAUACCGCAUACUAUCAGAUGAGGCUAAGGCGGAUUAGCUAGUUGGUGGGGUAAAGGCCUACCAAGGCGACGAUCCGGAACUGGUCUGAGAGGAUGAUCAGUCAAACGGGAAAUGAGACACGGUCCAGACGCCUACGGGAGGUAGCAGUGGGGAAAAUUGGACAAUGGGCGAAAGCCGGAUACAGCCAUGCCGCGGGUGUGAAGAAGGUCUUCGGAGUGUAAAGCACUUUAAGUUGGGAGGCGGUACCAGCAGAAGAAGCACCGGCUAACUUCGUGCCAGCAGCCGCGGUAAUAC
rnacentral:rRNA from 1 species